rnacentral:misc_RNA from 1 species
GAUGAAGAACGUAGCGAAAUGCGAUAAGUAAUGUGAAUUGCAGAAUUCAGUGAAUCAUCGAAUCUUUGAACGCACAUUGCGCCCGGUAGUAUUCUGCCGGGCAUGCCUGUUCGAGCGUCAUUUCAACCAUCAAGCCCCAGCGCUUGUGUUGGGGGCCCGCGGCUGCCGCAGCCCCCCAAAAGCAGUGGCGGGCUCGCUAUCACACCGAGUGCAGUAGUUCAUCUUCUCUCCGGUCUUGUGAGGCGGGUUCCGGCCGUGAAACACCCCACUACAUUCAAGGUUGACCUCGGAUCAGGUAGGAAUACCCGCUGAACUUAAGCAUAUCAAUAAGCGGAGGA